CGGUUUCUGCUAGUUUGGAGGAAACGGUCGCGUUUAGGGAAAUUAGUCAUGUUGUUGCUGGGUGGUGUGCGAAGGAUACUAGAAGUACUAUCGAGCCCGCAGCUAUUCUUAAUUUGUUGCUGACGCAGGAUACUCGACUCUUGCACACGGCCGAAAUGAGCAGGCGGUACUACAAUAUUAUCAUGGCCACAGCCCAUUAAGUGGUCUCUCUAUUGCUGAUAGGAGAUGACAGCGAAUGUUGAUGAGAACGGAC
rnacentral:sRNA from 2 species